rnacentral:miRNA from 1 species
GCACCUUAGAGACCAACUAAGUUUGUUCUUGGUAUAAGCUUUCGUGUGCAUGCACACUUCUUCAGAUACAUGUACACAAAAGCUUAUACCAAGAACAAACUUAGUUGGUCUCUAAGGUGC